rnacentral:rRNA from 1 species
UACGUAGGGUGCGAGCGUUAAUCGGAAUUACUGGGCGUAAAGCGUGCGCAGGCGGUUAUGUAAGACAGGUGUGAAAUCCCCGGGCUUAACCUGGGAACUGCAUUUGUGACUGCAUAGCUAGAGUACGGUAGAGGGGGAUGGAAUUCCGCGUGUAGCAGUGAAAUGCGUAGAUAUGCGGAGGAACACCGAUGGCGAAGGCAAUCCCCUGGGCCUGCACUGACGCUCAUGCACGAAAGCGUGGGGAGCAAACAGG